AAAGGGUCCGUAGGCGGAUCUGUAAGUCAGUGGUGAAAUCUCAUAGCUUAACUAUGAAACUGCCAUUGAUACUGCAGGUCUUGAGUAAAGUAGAAGUGGCUGGAAUAAGUAGUGUAGCGGUGAAAUGCAUAGAUAUUACUUAGAACACCAAUUGCGAAGGCAGGUCACUAUGUUUUAACUGACGCUGAUGGACGAAAGCGUGGGGAGCGAACAGGAUUAGAUACCCUGGUAGUCCACGCCGUAAACGAUGCUAACUCGUUUUUGGGCUUUAGGGUUCAGAGACUAAGCGAAAGUGAUAAGUUAGCCACCUGGGGAGUACGUUCGCAAGAAUGAAACUCAAAGGAAUUGACGGGGGCCCGCACAAGCGGUGGAUUAUGUGGUUUAAUUCGAUGAUACGCGAGGAACCUUACCAAGGCUUAAAUGGGAAUUGACAGGUUUAGAAAUAGACUUUUCUUCGGACAAUUUUCAAGGUGCUGCAUGGUUGUCGUCAGCUCGUGCCGUGAGGUGUUAGGUUAAGUCCUGCAACGAGCGCAACCCCUGUCACUAGUUGCCAUCAUUCAGUUGGGGACUCUAGUGAGACUGCCUACGCAAGUAGAGAGGAAGGUGGGGAUGACGUCAAAUCAUCACGGCCCUUACGCCUUGGGCCACACACGUAAUACAAUGGCCAGUACAGAGGGCAGCUACCUAGCGAUAGGAUGCGAAUCUCGAAAGCUGGUCUCAGUUCGGAUUGGAGUCUGCAACUCGACUCUAUGAAG
rnacentral:rRNA from 1 species